rnacentral:rRNA from 1 species
UACGUAGGGGGCGAGCGUUGUCCGGAAUCAUUGGGCGUAAAGCGUGCGCAGGCGGUUCGCAAAGACAGGUGUGAAAUCCCCGGGCUUAACCUGGGAACUGCGCUUGUAACUAGCGGGCUAGAGUGCGGCAGAGGGGGGUGGAAUUCCACGUGUAGCAGUGAAAUGCGUAGAUAUGUGGAGGAACACCGAUGGCGAAGGCAGCCCCCUGGGCUAGUACUGACGCUCAUGCACAAAAGCGUGGGGAGCAAACAGG